rnacentral:rRNA from 1 species
AUUGAACGCUGGCGGCAUGCUUUACACAUGCAAGUCGAACGGUAACAGGCCGCAAGGUGCUGACGAGUGGCGAACGGGUGAGUAAUGCAUCGGAACGUGCCCAGUCGUGGGGGAUAACGCAGCGAAAGCUGUGCUAAUACCGCAUACGAUCUAUGGAUGAAAGCGGGGGAACGUAAGGCCUCGCGCGAUUGGAGCGGCCGAUGUGAGUUUAGGUAGUUGGUGGGGUAAAGGCACACCAAGCCAAGGAUCUGUAGCUGGUCUGAGAGGACGACCAGCCACAGUGGGACUGAGACACGGCCCAGACUCCUACGGGAGGCAGCAGUGGGGAAUUUUGGACAAUGGGCGCAAGCCCGAUCCAGCAAUGCCGCGUGCAGGAAGAAGGCCUUCGGGUUGUAAACUGCUUUUGUACGGAACGAAAAGGUUUGGGUUAAUACCCUGGGCCGAUGACGGUACCGUAAGAAUAAGCACCGGCUAACUACGUGCCAGCCGCCGCGGUAA